ACCUGGGUGGCUCAGUGGUUGAGCGUCUGCCUUUAGCUCAGGUCAUGAUCCUGGGGUCCUGGGAUCAAGCCCCACCUCGGGCU
rfam:Canis lupus familiaris chromosome 38, whole genome shotgun sequence.